AGAGUUUCUCUCAUGUCUGCAGUUUUUAAAAGUAACCAGCUGAAAAUAAUCCUCAUGCUAAAGAAACAUAUCUUGGAGUAGCCAAUUCCAGUCCCCCACACUAGCAUCCAUGAGAAGCCAGGGAGAGGAAAGAAGGAUUUUUUCUUAGAUAAUCCAGAGGGAGCAUGGCCUUGCCAACAUCUUGACUUCAGACUUCUAGUUUCCAGAACUGUGAGAAAAUGUUUCUGUUGUUUUAAACCACCCAGUUUGUGAUUUUGUUAUGACACCCAUAGAAAACUAAUAAACUAAGGGAAUUAACACCUGCUAUUUCUCUUUUUGAGUAAAUGUCAUUUAGAUAGCCCAGGAAAUGAUUCAACAGACAUCAAUUUAGUAUAAAUUAGGAUUGAAUGCCAAAAGGAUUAGGAGGGAACAGAGAGAUCGGAGGACAAGGAAAUUACAGAAUUGAAUAUUUGAUGAAAGCUAAUUUCUUAAGGAAUUCUACUCACUGUUGCUGAUCCUGCCUCAUUUCCUGUCUUCAUCUUUCCCUGCUUCCACAUGGCGGGAUCUGCCAGUUCCCCAGCUAUCCAUCUCACAACCAUACCUGACCAGUUUGAAGGCAGCAUGAGCUCUAUAAUUUGCUACAAUUCAUAAACAGAAGAGAGAAGGGGAGGGAAAGCCAGUGUAUAAUAUGCAAGGCAUUAAGUGUUUCAUCUCAGCAUUGAAGUCUCCAUGCCUAAAGACAUCUCUAGAUGGAAGGUGUGUGUGGGAUUGGAAGAUCAAUUUCUCUGUAUCCAGUGUGACCUUGCCUCAGAGCUUAGCUCGUUUUGGAGCUGUCCUUGGUGCUUACCUCAGAUCUGGAACUCAAUUUUCAGGACUGAUCCAGCCUGCAGUUUCCUCAUAAUGAGGAGUCUAUUUUUCAUGAACCAGGUGCCUCUCUGCCCACCUUGGAACCCUGCCACUAUCCCUACAUGGACUUGCAGGAAAAUAUGCCAAUUCCACCUUCCCUUGCUCUCCUCUGCUAUGUUUUUCUCUCUCACUCUCUCCAUAAUUCUUCCUCAGUACAGUUUUCUUGGCAUAUCUCCCUACUUAGACAUACAUCCAAACAGUAAUUUCUAUGAUGAGUGUAAGUGGUUGGUAUGGCAAGAAAAAACACAGAGCUGGAUGUUAGAAAUCCUGGAUUUUAGAUUUUAGUUAUGGCUCUAAUAUUAACGAGCCCUGUGACUUGACUAAGUCAUGCAAAAUCUCAGAAAUCUGCUUUUCCAUUUAUAAAGUUGAGAUAAUCACAUAAUCUCUAUAUUACCACAGAGGGUAGUUGUAAGGCUCACGUAAGAUGAUAAUAUGUGAAAACUCUGGAAAAUAAAUGCAAUUAUCCAUAUUUGCAAGGUAUUUCAUGUUUUGGUUAAAAUGAUCAAUAAUUACUAUGACCUUUCUUGGCAUCUUUAAUUCCUAAAUCCUAUGAGAUGGAAAAUGAAGCUUUAAUAUUAUUUUAGAUAAAAUUAUUUCUUCAUCUAGUAAAUUAAUGAAUACUGAAAUGGAGCUAUGGUGCGCUGACGGCUUUGAAGUUUAGAGCUAUAUUAUUAGGACUAGGAAAUACGAUAAGAAGAAAGUGAGAGGAUAUCAGGUAUUGCAAACUAGUUUUCGUUUUUUCCCAAGAAAAAGACAUUUAUGUUUCAGGAAUAUACCCACUGUGUGGGUGUAGGG
rnacentral:lncRNA from 1 species